ACAACAGCAUUGGUAAAAUUAUAAAAGGCGGGAUUAUAAAUGAUGUAAACAGAUGUUUACACUGACUACCAACAACAGCUUAAGAGUUCUUUUUUGGUUCCUUUUGCCUAGAAAACUAGAAUCAACCUUCACAAAGGAGAAGAAAACAUACUUUGCCCAUUAUGGCCCCUCUAACCUGCGGUCGUCAUUGGCUGACCUAUACUAUUAGAAUUAAUUUCAGAGACUGAAGUCAUGCAAAAUUUAAAAACAAUAAUUAAAACACUGCUGUAACAAAAGUAUUUCCCCCGGGUGUAGCUAACUGCUAGGCUACGGAUCCAGCCAACAUGGAGAGAAAAGUUCUGGCACUCCAGGCGAGGAAGAAGAGGGGCAAGGCGAAGAGGACCAGAAAAAAGCAGCCAGGCAAUGCCAGAGCUCGACAGCCAACCCAGCAGGAAGUCUCACCUCAGGAACCUGAAGAACCUGAAGAGAUUCUGGGAUCUGAUGAUGAGGAACAGGAGGACCCCAAUGACUACUGCAAAGUGGAUUAUAUUACUUUGUGCUCAUGUUGGCUCCAACUGCUGUGCUCCGUUCACCCACCCAACUAAACAAACCUGUUAUUGUACUGCUAGUGACUCAUCCUUGUUUGUUACACUCCUGCACUAAAACACAAACAAAUCAAGGAUAUGUAGCCUUUAUCUGUCAUCUUUGUCCCCUUUAAGAGGACCUGCUUCCACUUCUUUUCUCGUACAUUUUCAUUAGUGCUGUGUUGUUUUUUUAAAUGGAUUAUUUUAUCUUAUAAACACAUGUAAGGUAUAUAUUUUGUAUUUGUAAAGUAGGCGUAGGAAGUUGCACACUGGGCUGACAUUUACACUGACUGUGGUGAUAGCCUUUCUGAGGAUAGACACUCUAGUUUACCUGAAACAUCCACUGUCUGAUGAAGUAGGUCAUUAUUUAGACAUAACAAACCUGAUGUUGGUGUAGGUUAGUUAGUUAUAAUAUAUGAGAUCUUUCAUUCUCAUGGGAGGCUGGUAUUCUCAUACACCGAUCACAAUUCAGGAAUAUAGUGUUUUCAAAGGUUUCAACAAGACAACAUGUUAGGAAGCCCAAUCGAAAGGAAAGAAGAGGAAAUAAACUGUAUAUAUCUGUACCAAAGAGUUUGCCUUUAUGUAUAUUACAGUUAUGUACAGUUUUUAACAAAUCCUAUAUCUUAGCUAAAAUUAUUUAGCUGGGUAGCUGUGUUUUAAUAAAGCGUAUGGAAGAUGUGUUCGAGCUCAGUUGUAUGUAUGGCCAACUGUCCAAUAAUGUCACUGUUUUUAGAAAUGGUGAGAUCUGGUGUUACGUCAUGGUGUCCAAAAUUGAUCAUAUCAAAGUAAACUAUCUGUUCAAGUCAACGAAAAAACAAAAUUUACAUCAGUUUCAGAUUCAAGAUCUUAGAUUUUGUGUGAGCUGUCGAUUAAAAAAAAAACCAAACUGUAC